AAAAAAAAAAAAAAAAAAAAAAAAAAGAAGAAUAGAUAGAGACCUGAGAAUUGAGUCUGGGGCUUCCAGCAUUUCCAGAUCAGUGAAACGAGAAAGCAGUGAAGGAAAGACAGGAGGCUGCAACUGACAACAUAUGGGCUCUGAACAGAGGAGCUGGCCCAAAUGAGAGAUCUUUCAAUCUUUUAUUUCCACAGCAGCAAAGAAACUACUGACCCGAUUACCUUCUAGAAGGGCCUGGACCUAUGAUCCCAAACGCCAAGAAUGCCAGCUCAAAAUGAACGACUUUCCCACUGAGAAGCAGUGAAAUGGAACUGGGGCGCUUUCUACAGGGAUUUUCACACUUGGUGGGGACAGGGAUCAAUUCACUUUGGUUCCAGAGCUGUUGGAGUUAAGAGUGGCCGUAGACACGUGGAUUGUGAUGAACCCUGUUGUGCAAGCCUGAGGAAGCCUUGCUGUGGUCUACAACCCUUGGAAACAAAUUCUCUCCAGCCAAGGAGGGAGCGGAGUGCAAGUAACCUGCUGGUGUGGGAAUUUCCAGAUUUUGGUGCCUGAGUAAUUGCUACCUUGGCC
ensembl:lncRNA